GUCCUUCUCCUGAUUGGAAUUCCUGUAGGACGCUGCCUCUUAAAAACCCUCCUAAACCAUAUACACAAGAAUGUAGGUGAGGUCCGACUUAUGGGCUUGUGAGCCCAGUAUGGUCCCUUAGUCACAGAAGGAUGGGAAAGAAACUGAGGCCUAAUGAUGUGCGAGAUUGACAUCAAACCCACUAAAACCAGUGGGGUCUGUGAUAGUAAAAGCAAAUGUGACUCCGUUUUGUUUUGUGACUCUGUUCUGUCAAACAAUCAGGCCAAGUACAAGGGUCAUGACUGGGGCAAGAUGUUCUUUUCCUUUUGCUAUGGAAACCUUUAAGAACAUGGAACUACCUAAUGGGGCAUUGUUUCUGUAACUAGGGUAAGGGGACUCUCUGUAACUGGGGUGACUGGGCUAACUGGUUAUUCCCGCCACCUGACUGCACUCUCCCGCUUCUGUGACCUGGCUUGCUUGCAUUGGCUAGACCCCCCUGAACAUCCCUUUUGUGGUUUUCAGGCUUAUAAGGAGUACCCUUGCAAUUUUCCGGGGCUGAUCAGGGGCACAGCUUUAUACUCUGGUCAGCCACCACCGGUGUGCUUCAAUAAAGGCUUGAUUGGAUUAUACUUGAGUG
rnacentral:lncRNA from 1 species